rnacentral:rRNA from 1 species
UGGGGAAUAUUGGACAAUGGGCGCAAGCCUGAUCCAGCCAUGCCGCGUGAACGAUGAAGGCCUUAGGGUUGUAAAGUUCUUUUGUCAGGGAAGAUAAUGACGGUACCUGAAGAAUAAGCACCGGCUAACUACGUGCCAGCAGCCGCGGUAAUACGUAGGGUGCGAGCGUUAAUCGGAAUUACUGGGCGUAAAGCGUGCGCAGGCGGCUUUGCAAGACAGAUGUGAAAUCCCCGGGCUCAACCUGGGAACUGCAUUUGUGACUGCAAGGCUAGAGUACGGUAGAGGGGGAUGGAAUUCCGCGUGUAGCAGUGAAAUGCGUAGAUAUGCGGAGGAACACCGAUGGCGAAGGCAAUCCCCUGGACCUGUACUGACGCUCAUGCACGAAAGCGUGGGGAGCAAACAGGAUUAGAUACCCUCGUAGUCCCUGAGCGGGCUGGCAAGGCGCAU